AUCAAGCUUGGCUCUGACUUUUCAAUAUAGUAAUAAUAAAAAUACACACAUGGUUUUUGUAGAAUGGGGUGAGGUUAAAGAAUUAAAUAACUUUAAGCAUAAAGCGAAGAGUUAUAAAUCCUUUAUGGUAUUAUUUUUAGAUAUAAUGCCGAAAAUAUUUUCACUAACACCAGUGUCAGAUAUUAAAUUAAAAGCGUGAGCUUGUUUUAGAUUAAUUAUUGAAAGAUUUGGUUAAUUUGGUGCCAGCAUCCGCGGUUAGACCAAAGAAUCAAAUUAUAUUUAAUAGGUAAAAAGGUAGUUAAAUAAAAAAUUUCCUUGUCUAAAGAUUUAUCAUUCAAAAGUAAAAUUUGAAAUUGAAUAAAAAUUUUAUUAAAGACAACGUAUGUAUUGACUCUACGAAACCCUUGAGGGAAACUAGGAUUAGAUACCCUAUUAUUCUAGGAUAUAAAUCAAUUAUCAAUUUACCUGAGUACUAUGAACAAAAGUUUAAAACUCAAAGAGCUUGGCGGUGUUUUAGACUCCUCAGGGGAAUCUGUCUCGUAAUCGACAGUCCACGAAAUACCUAACUUUGCUUAGUAAUCAGUAUGUAUACCGUCGUCGUCAGGUAACUUUUAAAAAUAAAAAAGUUAGCAACUAAAAAUAUAAUUUUAGACGUCAGAUCAAGGUGCAGCCUAUAGCAGAGAGCAGAUGGAUUACAAUUAACACUUAUAAACACGGAAGAAAAGUAGAAUUAUUUUUUGGAAGGCGGACUUGAAAGUAAAAAUUUAUAUAUAAGUUUUUUGAAUCGAGCUCUGAAACGUGCACACAUCGCCCGUCGCUCUCGUUGAAAAAUGAGAUAAGUCGUAACACAGUAGGGGUAAUGGAAAUUGUCCCUGAAUGAAA
rnacentral:ncRNA from 1 species